GACGAACGCUGGCGGCGUGCUUAACACAUGCAAGUCGAACGGUGAAGCGCCUUCCUUUUUGGUGGGUGUGGAUGAGUGGCGAACGGGUGAGUAACACGUGAGUAACCUGCCCCCUUCUUCUGGAUAACCGCAUGAAAGUGUGGCUAAUACGGGAUAUUCUGGGUCUGUCGCAUGAUGGGUCUGGGAAAGAUAUUGUUUCGGUGGGGGAUGGGCUCGCGGCCUAUCAGCUUGUUGGUGGGGUGAUGGCCUACCAAGGCGGUGACGGGUAGCCGGCCUGAGAGGGUGGACGGUCACACUGGGACGGAGACACGGCCCAGACUCCUACGGGAGGCAGCAGUGGGGAAUAUUGCACAAUGGGCGCAAGCCUGAUGCAGCGACGCCGCGUGAGGGAUGGAGGCCUUCGGGUUGUGAACCUCUUUCGCCAGUGAAGCAGGCCUGCCUCGUUUGUGGGUGGGUUGACGGUAGCUGGAGAAGAAGCGCCGGCUAACUACGUG
rnacentral:rRNA from 1 species